CUGCUCCACCCCGGGGGACCAGGGCAAGACCUGAGGAGAGAGGGCCUGGCCGAGUCCACCAGUCAGGCUGCAUACCUGGCUCUAAAGGUGGUGUUGGUUUGUUUUGAGCGGCAGCUGGGGAACCAGUGGUAUCGCCUCAGCCUGCAGGCCAAGGAGAUGUCUCUGAGGAAGGUGGGAGGCCUGGCCUUCUGGGACUUCAUAGAUUUCAUAGUGCGUACUCGGAUUCCCAUCUUCGUCCUGCUGCGUCCCUUUAUCCAGUGCAAGCUCCUGACCCAGCCAGCAGACUCCCAGGAGGAGAUCACGGCCCGCCACCACAUCGCUGACCAGCUGGAG